rnacentral:rRNA from 1 species
GACAGAGGCCUCAAGCGUUAGGCGGAAUCACUGGGCCUUAAAGCGUGUGUAGGCGGAUACGUUAAGUGUCUUGUGAAAUCCCACGGCGUUAACCGGUGGAACUGCUUGGCAUACGUGGCGGUCUUGAGCAACCUAGGGGCGAGCGGAACAAGCGGUGGAGCGGUGAAAUGCGCAGAGUAUCAGGAGGAACACCAAUGGGCGAAGGCAGCUCACUGGGACGGUAUUGACGACUGGAGACGCGAAAGCCGUGGGGAGCAAACAGG